UCGCAUGUUACACGCGCUGUCAGUUCAGUCCAGUGCUUUGUCGCAAACACGCGUUGUGUUCAAUUGAUUAUCGACGGUAUAAAUACGAGUACCAACUUAAAUUUAAGAUUUGAUACCAACAGUGUACUCUACUUGCUGAUAAUAUCCAUGAGGUAGAUUUUGUGGAAAAACAUUUAUAGUGUCACAAUGCAAUCAAGUGGCUGUAAAACAUCAAUGGAACUUCGGAGGAAUGUCAUCCUGGCACCAAAUUAUUAUAGUUUUAUGAUUGUCUCACGCGGAAGCGCUUCGAGGCAUUGCUUUCUGUUAGUUUUAGGGUUCUAGAACAUCAAUGAAUUUAAGCAGGAAGGUUAUCCCUACAUAAAAUUGGCUCAAGAAAAUCAAUGGGUCCUUGCAGGAAGGUCAUUCUUUGCAUCAAAUUUUUCGUCUCCGUCGUUCAGUUUCUUCCAUCACACAUCUAAAUUUACAACUAUCGUGUAACAAACAUCUUCGAGAUUCGAGAUUUCAUUGUGGUUGCAUAAUGGCGUCUUCUUUGUUUGCAAACCAUUGAACAUAUUACACUCGUGUGACUCCAUUUCAUAUCUGUUUGAAUCUUACUUGUUUUACAUUUAAUAAUAUAAUUUGACAAUCUUUGACAAUCCUUAAUAUUAAAUUUUAAUAUUGCUCAAGUGUAGUACUUAGUUAUGGUAGUGUUUAUAAUAGUAUAAGUUUACUGUUUAAUAUAAUGUUUUAUAGAUUCGUUUUUACACUUUUAUGCGAAUUAUUUUGAUGUUAAAACACGUGGUGUAGUAUUUAUAUAUGAUGUAAAUGUUGUCAUUUGAAAGAUUUUGUUGCAAACAACCAUCGAAUAAUAUUGCGUUUGUUAUUA